rnacentral:rRNA from 1 species
GACGAACGCUGGCGGCGUGCUUAACACAUGCAAGUCGAACGGAAAGGCCCCUUUGGGGGUCCUCGAGUGGCGAACGGGUGCGUAACACGUGAGUAACCUGCCCUUGACUUCGGGAUAACUUCAGGAAACUGGGGCUAAUACCGGAUAGGAAUCCUUGCUGCAUGGGGGGGGUUGGAAAGCUUCGGCGGCUUUGGAUGGACUCGCGGCCUAUCAGCUUGUUGGUGGGGUAGUGGCUUACCAAGGCUCUGACGGGUAGCCGGCCUGAGAGGGCGACCGGCGACAUUGGGACUGAGAGACGGCCCAGACUCCUACGGGAGGAAGCAGUGGGGAAUAUUGCACAAUGGGCGGAAGCCUGAUGCAGCAACGCCGCGUGCGGGAUGACGGCCUUCGGGUUGUAAACCGCUUUCAGCAGGGGCGAAGCUUGUGGUGACGGUACCUGCAGAAGAAGCACCGGCUAACUACGUG